GAAACCGAGUCUUAAUAGGGCGUUUAGUUGCUGGGUAUAGACCCGAAACCAGGUGAUCUAUCCAUGAGCAGGUUGAAGGUUGGGUAACACUAACUGGAGGACCGAACCCACUGUCGUUGAAAAGCCAGGGGAUGACUUGUGGAUAGGGGUGAAAGGCUAAUCAAACUUGGUGAUAGCUGGUUCUCCCCGAAAGCUAUUUAGGUAGCGCCUCGGACGAAUACCAUUGGGGGUAGAGCACUGUUUCGGCUAGGGGGUCAUCCCGACUUACCAAACCGAUGCAAACUCCGAAUACCAAUGAGUACUAUCCGGGAGACAGACUGCGGGUGCUAACGUCCGUAGUCAAGAGGAAAACAAUCCAGACCGCCAGCUAAGGCCCCAAAAUUAUAGUUAAGUGGGAAACGAUGUGGGAAGGCAUAGACAGCUAGGAGGUUGGCUUAGAAGCAGCCACCCUUUAAAGAAAGCGUAAUAGCUCACUAGUCGAGUCGGCCUGCGCGGAAGAUGUAACGGGGCUAAAACUAUAUGCCGAAGCUGCGGAUGCAUAAUUUAUUAUGCGUGGUAGGGGAGCGUUCUGUAAGCCGAUGAAGGUGGAUUGAGAAGUCUGCUGGAGGUAUCAGAAGUGCGAAUGCUGACGUGAGUAACGACAAUGCGAGUGAAAAACUCGCACGCUGAAAGACCAAGGGUUCCAGUCCAACGUUAAUCGGGGCUGGGUGAGUCGACCCCUAAGGCGAGGCCGAGAGGCGUAGUCGAUGGGAAAUUGGUUAAUAUUCCAAUACUUCUGUGUAAUGCGAUGAGAGGACGGAGAAGGUUAAGUCAGCCUGGCGUUGGUUGUCCAGGUGGAAGGUUGUAGGCAUGUAUCUUAGGCAAAUCCGGGGUACUCUAUGCUGAGAACUGAUAGCAAGCUGUACUUGUACAGUGAAGUGGCUGAUACCAUGCUUCCAGGAAAAGUCUCUAAGCUUCAGUUACACAGGAAUCGUACCCGAAACCGACACAGGUGGUCAGGUCGAGUAGACCAAAGCGCUUGAGAGAACUCUGCUGAAGGAACUAGGCAAAAUGGUACCGUAACUUCGGGAGAAGGUACGCUGUUGUCUGUGAUAGGACUUGCUCCUUGAGCGGCCGACAGCCUCAGAAACCAGGCCCCUGCAACUGUUUAUUAAAAACAUAGCACUCUGCAAACACGAAAGUGGACGUAUAGGGUGUGAUGCCUGCCCGGUGCUGGAAGGUUAAUUGAUGGGGUUAGCGUAAGCGAAGCUCUUGAU
rnacentral:rRNA from 1 species